rnacentral:rRNA from 1 species
UACGAAGGGGGCUAGCGUUGUUCGGAAUUACUGGGCGUAAAGCGCGUGUAGGCGGGCCGUUAAGUCGGGGGUGAAAGCCCAGAGCUCAACUCUGGAAUUGCCUUCGAUACUGGCGGCCUGGAGCAUGAUAGAGGCGAGUGGAAUUGCGAGUGUAGAGAUGAAAUUCGUAGAUAUUCGCAGGAACACCAGUGGCGAAGGCGACUCGCUGGAUCAUUGCUGACGCUGAGACGCGAAAGCGUGGGGAGCAAUCAGG